GAUGAACGCUGGCGGCGUGCUUAACACAUGCAAGUCGAACGGUGAACACGGAGCUUGCUCUGUGGGAUCAGUGGCGAACGGGUGAGUAACACGUGAGCAACCUGCCCCUGACUCUGGGAUAAGCGCUGGAAACGGCGUCUAAUACUGGAUAUGUGACGUGACCGCAUGGUCUGCGUUUGGAAAGAUUUUUCGGUUGGGGAUGGGCUCGCGGCCUAUCAGCUUGUUGGUGAGGUAAUGGCUCACCAAGGCGUCGACGGGUAGCCGGCCUGGGAGGGUGACCGGCCACACUGGGACUGAGACACGGCCCAGACUCCUACGGGAGGCAGCAGUGGGGAAUAUUGCACAAUGGGCGCAAGCCUGAUGCAGCAACGCCGCGUGAGGGAUGACGGCCUUCGGGUUGUAAACCUCUUUUAGCAGGGAAGAAGCGAAAGUGACGGUACCUGCAGAAAAAGCGCCGGCUAACUACGUG
rnacentral:rRNA from 1 species